rnacentral:sRNA from 1 species
UCUGCAGUAUUUAUCUAUUGGCCUUGG